rnacentral:rRNA from 1 species
GCAUAUCAAUAGCGGAGGAAAAGAAACCAACAGGGAUUGCCUCAGUAACGGCGAGUGAAGCGGCAAAAGCUCAAAUUUGAAAUCUGGCAGCCUCGCUGUCCGAGUUGUAAUUUGAAGAUUUCUCUUUGUGAGAGGCGCCUUGUCUAUGUUCCUUGGAACAGGACGUCGCAGAGGGUGAGAAUCCCGUGUGAUGAGGCCGCCGAUCCGUGUAAAGAGUCAUCGACGAGUCGAGUUGUUUGGGAAUGCAGCUCUAAGUGGGUGGUAAACUCCAUCUAAAGCUAAAUAUUGGCGAGAGACCGAUAGCGAACAAGUACAGUGAUGGAAAGAUGAAAAGAACUUUGAAAAGAGAGUGAAAAAGUACGUGAAAUUGUUGAAAGGGAAGGUUAUUAGAUCAGACUUGGCGGCGCGCCAUACCUGUCCUCUUGUAGGGCGGACACUGGCGCGUGUUUGCUGGGCCAGCAUCGAUUCGGGCGGCGGGACAUGGUCCUGUGGGAUGUGGCUGUUUUAACACAGUGUUAUAACCACGGGUCUCUGCCGCCUGCCUGGAUCGAGGACUGCGUCUGUUUACAGACUAGGAUGCUGGCGUAAUGAUCUAAUAUCGCCCGUCUUGAAACACGGACCAAGGAGUCUAACGUCUAUGCGAGUGUUUGGGUGUAAAACCCGUACGCGUAAUGAAAGUGAACGUAGAUUGGAGCUGCCCCCCCCUGGGGGCAGUGCACAAUCGACCGAUCCGGAAGAAUUUCUGAAGGAUUUGAGUAAGAGCAUAGCUGUUGGGACCCGAAAGAUGGUGAACUAUGCCUGAAUAGGGUGAAGCCAGAGGAAACUCUGGUGGAGGCUCGUAGCGGUUCUGACGUGCAAAUCGAUCGUCGAAUUUGGGUAUAGGGGCGAAAGACUAAUCGAACCAUCU